UACGUAGGGUGCAAGCGUUGUCCGGAAUUAUUGGGGGUAAAGAGCUCGUAGGCGGUCUGUUGCGUCGGCUGUGAAAACCCGAGGCUCAACCUCGGGCCUGCAGCCGAUACGGGCAGACUAGAGUUCGGCAGGGGAGACUGGAAUUCCUGGUGUAGCGGUGAAAUGCGCAGAUAUCAGGAGGAACACCGGUGGCGAAGGCGGGUCUCUGGGCCGAUACUGACGCUGAGGAGCGAAAGCGUGGGGAGCGAGCAGG
rnacentral:rRNA from 1 species